GAUGAACGCUAGCGGGAGGCUUAACACAUGCAAGUCGUGGGGCAGCACGGGGUAGCAAUACUCUGGUGGCGACCGGCGCACGGGUGAGUAACGCGUAUGCAACCUACCCAGUACAGGGGGAUAGCCCGGAGAAAUUCGGAUUAAUACCCCAUAAUGAUAUUAAGUGGCAUCAUUUGAUAUUUAAAGUUUCGGCGGUACUGGAUGGGCAUGCGUGACAUUAGCUAGUUGGUAGGGUAACGGCCUACCAAGGCAUCGAUGUCUAGGGGUCCUGAGAGGGUGAUCCCCCACACUGGUACUGAGACACGGACCAGACUCCUACGGGAGCUG
rnacentral:rRNA from 1 species